CAAGUACUCCCUUCGUCCGGAAUUACUUGUCAUCAAAAUGGAUGUGUCUAGAACUAAAAUAUAUCUAGAUACAUCCAUUUCAAUGACAAGUAUUUUCGGACAGAGGGAGUACAAG
rnacentral:pre_miRNA from 1 species